rnacentral:rRNA from 1 species
CCUACGGGUGGCUGCAGUGGGGAAUUUUCCGCAAUGGGCGAAAGCCUGACGGAGCAAUACCGCGUGAGGGAUGAAUGCCUAUGGGUUGUAAACCUCUUUUUUCAAGGAGGAAUAAAAUGACGUGUACUUGAAGAAUAAGCAUCGGCUAACUCCGUGCCAGCAGCCGCGGUAAGACGGGGGAUGCAAGUGUUAUCCGGAAUCACUGGGCGUAAAGCGUCUGUAGGUGGUUAAAUAAGUCAACUGUUAAAUCUUGAGGCUCAACCUCAAAAUCGCAGUCGAAACUGUUUGACUAGAGUAUAGUAGGGGUAAAGGGAAUUUCCAGUGGAGCGGUGAAAUGCGUAGAGAUUGGAAAGAACACCAAUGGCGAAGGCACUUUACUGGGCUAUUACUAACACUGAGAGACGAAAGCUAGGGUAGCAAAUGGGAUUAGAUACCCUAGUAGUC